rnacentral:rRNA from 1 species
CCUACGGGAGGCAGCAGUGGGGAAUAUUGCACAAUGGGCGGAAGCCUGAUGCAGCGACGCCGCGUGAGGGAUGAAGGCCUUCGGGUUGUAAACCUCUUUCAGCAGGGACGAAGCGUGAGUGACGGUACCUGCAGAAGAAGCACCGGCUAACUACGUGCCAGCAGCCGCGGUAACACGUAGGGUGCGAGCGUUGUCCGGAAUUACUGGGCGUAAAGAGUUCGUAGGCGGUUUGUCGCGUCGUUUGUGAAAACCCGGGGCUCAACUUCGGGCUUGCAGGCGAUACGGGCAGACUUGAGUGUUUCAGGGGAGACUGGAAUUCCUGGUGUAGCGGUGAAAUGCGCAGAUAUCAGGAGGAACACCGGUGGCGAAGGCGGGUCUCUGGGAAACAACUGACGCUGAGGAACGAAAGCGUGGGUAGCAAACAGGAUUAGAUACCCUGGUAGUCCACGCCGUAAACGGUGGCGCUAGGUGUGGGUUCCUUCCACGGGAUCUGUGCCGUAGCUAACGCAUUAAGCGCCCCGCUGGGGAGUACGGCCGCAAGGCUAAAACUUAAUGAAUUGACGG